UGAAGUACGACGUUGCGGUGUUUUAUUGUGCGGCUUCCGUGCUCCGCGGGCCGGGGGCGCACUUGGGCGCCGAGUGGAACUAAGGGCGUCGGCCAACCCCACAGGCCGGCCUAGCCUCGAGGUCCAGCUUCGGCCUGAGGUUCACCUUGGUCCUCAGCGUUGUACACGUUGCCCCCAGUUCCGCCGAGGAAGUCCUAAACGUCCAGACCUACGUCUCUCUAGAGGGCCAUCGGUGACCCGGCUGGAGACCUUGAACGUAAGUCAGCAUCAGUCCAGGGGCCUCGUGGUAAGGCGGGAGUCCAUGUUUGUGUCUGAAGCGCUUAGUAAUAAAGCGAAGGUGGUGAGUGGAUGGGA